GUACCUUCGUACGUAACUUCUAGCUUGUCCCACAUCUCCUUUGCCGUUGUGCAACACGAUCUGUUCCUGUAAUCGUCAGCAUUAACAGCACAAUAUAAUAAAUUAAUAGCUUUAACAUUAUUUUGAACCUUUCGGAUGUCAUCCGCGUCAUACUCAUCCUCGGACUUGGGAACCCAUUCGUUUUCCACCUUCUCUGUUGGAAUUUGGUUUCCCU
rnacentral:lncRNA from 1 species